CAUGCAAGUUCGAACGAUGAAAGAGGGAGCUUGCUUCUUCUGGAUUAGUGGCGAACGGGUGAGUAACACGUGAGCAAUCUGCCCUUGACUCUGGGAUAAGCGUUGGAAACGACGUCUAAUACCGGAUACGACCCUCGGAGGCAUCUCCUGGGGGUGGAAAGAAUUUUGGUCAAGGAUGAGCUCGCGGCCUAUCAGCUAGUUGGUGAGGUAAUGGCUCACCAAGGCGACGACGGGUAGCCGGCCUGAGAGGGUGACCGGCCACACUGGGACUGAGACACGGCCCAGACUCCUACGGGAGGCAGCAGUGGGGAAUAUUGCACAAUGGGCGAAAGCCUGAUGCAGCAACGCCGCGUGAGGGAUGACGGCCUUCGGGUUGUAAACCUCUUUUAGUAGGGAAGAAGCGAAAGUGACGGUACCUGCAGAAAAAGCACCGGCUAACUACGUGCCAGCAGCCGCGGUAAUACGUAGGGUGCAAGCGUUGUCCGGAAUUAUUGGGCGUAAAGAGCUCGUAGGCGGUUUGUCGCGUCUGCUGUGAAAUCUGGGGGCUCAACCCCCAGCCUGCAGUGGGUACGGGCAGACUAGAGUGCGGUAGGGGAGAUUGGAAUUCCUGGUGUAGCGGUGGAAUGCGCAGAUAUCAGGAGGAACACCGAUGGCGAAGGCAGAUCUCUGGGCCGUAACUGACGCUGAGGAGCGAAAGCAUGGGGAGCGAACAGGAUUAGAUACCCUGGUAGUCCAUGCCGUAAACGUUGGGAACUAGAUGUGGGGACCAUUCCACGGUCUCCGUGUCGCAGCUAACGCAUUAAGUUCCCCGCCUGGGGAGUAC
rnacentral:rRNA from 1 species